GAUGAACGCUGGCGGCGUGCCUAAUACAUGCAAGUCGAGCGAACGGACGAGAAGCUUGCUUCUCUGAUGUUAGCGGCGGACGGGUGAGUAACACGUGGAUAACCUACCUAUAAGACUGGGAUAACUUCGGGAAACCGGAGCUAAUACCGGAUAAUAUUUUGAACCGCAUGGUUCAAAAGUGAAAGACGGUCUUGCUGUCACUUAUAGAUGGAUCCGCGCUGCAUUAGCUAUUUGGUAAGGUAACGGCUUACCAAGGCAACGAUGCAUAGCCGACCUGAGAGGGUGAUAGGCCACACUGGAACUGAGACACGGUCCAGACUCCUACGGGAGGCAGCAGUAGGGAAUCUUCCGCAAUGGGCGAAAGCCUGACGGAGCAACGCCGCGUGAGUGAUGAAGGUCUUCGGAUCGUAAAACUCUGUUAUUAGGGAAGAACAUAUGUGUAAGUAACUGUGCACAUCUUGACGGUACCUAAUCAGAAAGCCACGGCUAACUACGUG
rnacentral:rRNA from 1 species